UACGUAGGUGGCAAGCGUUGUCCGGAUUUACUGGGUGUAAAGGGGCGCAGGCGGGAAGCUAAGUUGGAUGUGAAAUACCGGGGCUCAACUCCGGAGCUGCAUCCAAAACUGGUUUUCUUGAGUGGAGUAGAGGCAAGCGGAAUUCCGAGUGUAGCGGUGAAAUGCGUAGAUAUUCGGAGGAACACCAGUGGCGAAGGCGGCUUGCUGGGCUCUAACUGACGCUGAGGCCCGAAAGCGUGGGGAGCAAACAGGAUUAGAUACCCGUGUAGUCCCUGA
rnacentral:rRNA from 1 species